ensembl:lncRNA
UAUCUAUUGAUCUCUGGUAUUUCUUUUUGAUUCUUAGAAUUCCUAUCUCUGUGCUAACAUGUUCUGUUUUUACAUGUUUUUGCUUUAAAGCUUUUAGCAUAUUAAUCCUAGUGUUUUCAAAUUCCUUUCUGGUAAUUCCAACGUUCCUGCCAUGUCUGACUCUGGUUAUGAUGUGGUCAAGUCUCCUCACUCGGUGUUUUGCCUCUCAGUGUGCCCUGUGUUCUUUGGCUGAAAGGUGGACGUGAUGCUCUGGGUGGAAGGAGCUGCACUGGUGACCCUUCAGUGAUUGAUGGUCACAUGUAGGGGGGCGGCAGUCUGUGGUCCUUUGAUGAGGUCUCUGCUUUUGGCGAGUCUGUGCUCCUGGCCUGUGAACUCCAUGAGAACCUCUCAGUGUUCGCCCCUCAGGUCUUGUGAACAAGAACAGAAUCCUCUCGCACAUGCAACAUGGUUCUUUCCCCUCCCCCUGCUGGAAGACGGAGGGGAAUUCUCUCCAGUAUUCCCUUGAAGGACAUGCUAGAGCUCCUGGAGGUCCUAAGUAACUGUUGACAAUAACACUGAUAGAGAGAUGCGAGCUCAGACGUAUUUUAAACUCUGGACAGAUAGAAACUGGUUAUAUAAAACUCCAAAACUUGGAAAAAAUGGAGCAAAGAAAAUGCAGCAAAUUACAAAACAAAACGAAAGCGUGAAAGAGAACUAUCAAGGCAAAGUAAGACCGCGGAGACAGAUCUGAAGUCGUUCAGUCCUUGCGGUGAACGUGAGUGACUCUCAGAGCAGAUUGGAGUUGAGUGGUAUGCAUGUGAGCCAUUGAACAUGAAUGGCUCAGAAAGUCUGAGCAGUACGGAUUGGAGAAUGUGUCACAGGCUCAGAGCGUUAGGGUGCGUCCCCCUCUGAUCACAGGGACCCAGCAGAAACCCCAAGGGCACCCUGGGGAAUGGGGCCAUUGACCUUCUUACCUGGGGUUUGUGAACUUGGAUGGAAGACUGUUGCAUCUUUAUUUUCCUAUUCUUGAAGAGAAGUUUGGUAUUUCUUUCAAUCAUCAUAGGCAACAAGCUGUAGUAAUGGACGUAAUUCUGGAUUCCUAGGACUUCAGCGAGUACCACCACCCCUUUCUUCUAAGCCAGGAUCUUCAGGAGAGUAGCAGACAGAAAAAGAAACGAGCAAACCAAACUUUCUCCAUGGCAACGAGGCCAGCAAAUAGAGGGAAGGUGUCAAUCCAAAAAGCCAUGAAACGUGUGAGAGGCUUCUUCACCCAGCCCCACAGAAGCGGCCAGGAUGUCAGCCCAAGGACACGGAGGACUUGACCAGCGAAGUUGGGGCUGACUUUUGUGGAACUGUUGAUCUCCCUUCCUGUCAUAGAAAUCUAGAAUGCAGUGUGAUCCCAAGCACACAACAAUGGGAUUAAAAAACAAACAAGGGGCCGGUCCUGUGGCCCAGUGGCUAGGGUUGCACACGCUCCACUUGGGCAGCCCAGGUUUGCGGGUUCGGAUUCCGGUGCAGGCCUUCUCCACUCGUCGUCGUGCUGUAAAGGCAUCCCACAUGCAAAGUAGAGGAGGAUUGACACAGACUUCAGCUCAGGGCUAAUCUUCCUCACCAAAAAAAUAACCAAAAAAACAAACAAUAGAAAUUGCAGGAUGAUCUUAAGGAAGAAUCUAUGUAUAGGGUUUUUGUUUGUUUGUUUUAAUAAAGAAGAGUGAUGAAGGAG